rnacentral:rRNA from 1 species
GACGAACGCUGGCGGCGUGCUUAACACAUGCAAGUCGAACGAAGUGGCGAACGGGUGAGUAACGCCUAAUCAACCUGCCCUUCAGCUGGGGACCACAGUUGGACACGACUGCUAAUACCGCAUACUGAAGGAGGGGAUUGCGCCUGAUGAGCUGGCUGGAGGGGUAACGGACCCCCAAGUCGCUGAUCAGUCGCCGGUCGGAGAGUAUUGUCGGCCACAUUGGGACCGAGACAAGGCCCAGACUCCUACGGGAGGCAGACGUGGGGAAGCUUCCGCAAUGGACGAAAGUAUGACGGAGCAACGCAGCGUGAGUGAUGACGGCCUUCGGGUUGUAAAGCUAUGUUGAUCGGGACGCGGUACCGGAAUAGAAAGCCACGGCUAACUACGUGCCAGCCGCCGCGGUAAUAC